GACGAACGCUGGCGGCGUGCCUAAUACAUGCAAGUCGAGCGGACUGAUUAAGAGCUUGCUCUUAUGACGUUAGCGGCGGACGGGUGAGUAACACGUGGGCAACCUGCCCUGUAGAUCGGGAUAACACCGAGAAAUCGGUGCUAAUACCGGGUAAUAUCUGAGAUCACAUGAUCUUAGGUUAAAAGAUGGCUCCGGCUAUCACUACAGGAUGGGCCCGCGGCGCAUUAGCUAGUUGGUAAGGUAAUGGCUUACCAAGGCGACGAUGCGUAGCCGACCUGAGAGGGUGAUCGGCCACACUGGGACUGAGACACGGCCCAGACUCCUACGGGAGGCAGCAGUAGGGAAUCUGCCGCAAUGGACGAAAGUCUGACGGAGCAACGCCGCGUGAGUGAUGAAGGGUUUCGGCUCGUAAAGCUCUGUUGCUAGGGAAGAAACAGUACCGAACGAACUAGGUCGGUACCUUGACGGUACCUAACCAGAAAGCCACGGCUAACUACGUG
rnacentral:rRNA from 1 species